rnacentral:rRNA from 1 species
AGGACGAACGCUGGCGGCGUGCUUAACACAUGCAAGUCGAACGAUGAAGCCUUCGGGUGGAUUAGUGGCGAACGGGUGAGUAACACGUGGGUGAUCUGCCUCGUACUUCGGGAUAAGCUUGGGAAACUGGGUCUAAUACCGGAUAUGACCAGGGGCUGCAUGGUUUCUGGUGGAAAGAUUUAUCGGUGCGAGAUGAGCCCGCGGCCUAUCAGCUUGUUGGUGGGGUAAUGGCCUACCAAGGCGACGAUCAGUAGCUGGUCUGAGAGGAUGAUCAGCCACAUUGGGACUGAGACACGGCCCAAACUCCUACGGGAGGCAGCAGUGGGGAAUAUUGGACAAUGGGCGCAAGCCUGAUCCAGCCAUGCCGCGUGAGUGAUGACGGCCUUAGGGUUGUAAAGCUCUUUCGCUAGGGACGAUAAUGACGGUACCUAGACAAGAAGCCCCGGCUAACUUCGCGCCAGCAGCCGCGGU